AUGGAGAAAAUGGAACUGAUGAAAAAAGAAAGGCUGGAAAAUCACCCACUGUGUCACUUCAGACCCCUACCAGUGAAAUGGAGUAUUUUGAUGACCGGAAAAAAGUUGAUGUUGACAGGACCAAGAGCAGCACAGAUAGUCCAGUCCUGACAAUCAAGAGUGACUCCAAGAUUGAAAGGAAAAAACGUGCCUCAAAUCAGCUGAAGGCAAACGCACACUUUCAUAAGCUGUUUCUAGAUGUUCCCAUUGAUGAGCCACUGAAACAAAGCUUUACCUGUGCUCUGCAGAAAGAAAUUCUGUACCAAGGAAAGUUAUUCCUUUCUGAAAACUGGAUUUGCUUCCAUUCCAAGGUUUUUGGUAAAGACACCAAGAUUAGUAUACCUGUGCUGUCAGUGACACUUCUGAAGAAAACCAAAACUGCCCUUCUUGUGCCAAAUGCUCUGAUCAUAGCGACAGUGACAGAUAGGUACAUGUUUGUAUCACUACUCUCCAGAGAUACCACGUACAAGCUAUUAAAAUCUAUCUGCACACAUCUUGACGAUACAAGCAUGGGCAACAGUCCAAAUCCCUCUUCUGCAGAAAACAGCUUCAGGGCUGAUCGCCCUAGAACUCUGCCCCUGGAUUUCAACGAAGAUUAUUCUGAUCUGGAUGGAAUAGUGCAGCAGCGAAGACAAGAAAUGGAAGAGUCCAGCAGCACAAGCUCACAGACACCAGAGCUGGAGUGCUUCCAAGAUUAUCACGUUGUUGAAACAGAGACUCAUUUGAAAGUUUCCAAGCCUGAGGCCAAGUCUGUUCGUUCAGAUGCACAUAGUAAACGUGGGCCUGAUGGAAAAGCGCGGAACAGUCCUCGAAAUGGCCAUUCUGAAGCCUUCAAGUUCCUCCACAGAGUGAAGUCCCAGAAUCUCUUAUCUCUGAACCAUGUACUUGUAUUUUAUGCAAUUCUUGUUUGUGUUUUAAUACUUUCUACCUUCUACAUGAGAUAUAAAAUCAGUGUCCUGGAGGAGCGCCUUAUGUCCAUGACAGCCUUUGAUUCACAUAUUAAGGACAGGAUACUGUGUCCCUCUUCAGAAACACUAACACAAGAAAGUCCUGUUUCUGUUGCUCUGAUCCCAAAGAGUACAAGAUACAGGAAGGAAGAUCUAAUGUGCACUUCUGCAAUGUCAAGGGCUUGGGCUUUCUGAUUUCCUCCAAGUCGCAGGAUAUGGAACUUAUGGAACUUUUCUGGGGAAAUAGCUGUAAAGUGUUCUAUCCAAACUUCUGGAGAAUGAGAUCACAUAGAAAAUGUAGUCAAGAAGUGACAGCACUUUUUUCUUUCUGUGAACUACUACGGUUUACAAUUUCUGCACUGUUGCCCUCUCCAUGUGUAUCCAGUUCUGUUUUCCUCAUUUUUUGAGUCUGUCACACUUACUUUUUCAUUCUAUUUGACAGACAUCAAGUGCACCAAGAUUUGGGAUCUCACCUGCAAAUUAGUGCUGAUGCCCUUUGUGAUGAGUUAACUGCUAAUCUUAGAAAAUUGGAAAAGAACAAUUUACAAAAACUACUUGAAGAUGGUGAAUGAAACAUCAAUGUUCUUGGACACUUCAGACCUCAUUCUUCUGUCUUGACAAACCGUUCCAAAGGAGCUCUGCUGGCCAGAGUUCAAGCUUCUUUAUUUUCAGUCCAAGCCAAGCUUAAACUACUGUAAAGCUCAUGUCAUAAUGCAAAAAAGUCAGUUGAUUCUUCAGCAUGUAUCUAUAUAUUUUGCAAACAUAUAUGGUUUGGUCUACAUGUAUCUGUGUUAUAAAAAUGUGGGGAUUUUUCUUUCUCUGAGUGUGAAUUAAUGGAUUUUAUAGCUUGCUUGAUUUUAGAGUUGCUUUCACCAGUGCAAACCUGGUGCAUAUCAUUUUACCUCAACAUUUACUUUAUGCCUAUUGUCAUACAAGUAUAUACGUGAAGAAUGUCAGUCAUGAUUCAUGUACUAAAGUGUUGUGUGAAUGAGCAGGUAUCUGUUUUAGCUAUGAAUAUGGAUUGGUGCUGUGCUCUUCAUUUUUAUUUACUUCUCUGCACCCUGACAUCCCAAAGAUCAGAAAACAGACGCCUCUGUGUUUGGGUAUGCAAAGUGAUGAAUGUUUGAGGCCUGCUCAGUUCUCCAGAGCUGUAAAAAGGCUCAAUUCCACUUUCUGUAACACUGUAUCACCACUGAGGGUAAGGUCUGUUUCUGCUGGGCAUUCAGGUUCCAUCAAAAGUCAAACCUGAAAUGUGUAUGGAUUUGCCAAUUUGCAGUCAAUUUGCUUAUGAAUAGCAAUAUGGGUGUGACACACCUGCACAACUUAGAAGAACUUCUUGUUUUCUGUCCUCUCAUAUGGUCUCUGUCGUUUUAAGUUAAUCAGCAUGAAGAUCCUCACUCAGCUUUCCUUGGAGUUGCCUGGGGUUUUGGUUGGCUGAGCAAGUGCAAUUUGUAGUCCAGUAAAUGGAAAUCUAGUCUUGGUAUGUGACUCCAGGGACUGGAUAUUUCCACAUAACGAGAACUGGCAAAUUAAUGGUGCAGCAAUACAAACAAUCAGUAGAGUGAAUGAAAAAAGUGGACACCUGCUUUGUUAUAUCACGUCCUGUUUUUUUUCCCAGAGUGCCUAAGGGGAUUUCAGCUUUUUGAUUCACCAAGCAGGCUCAUUAGUUUUUAAAAAGCAAUAUUUAGAAUAAUAACUACUAUCUGUGAAGUAACAGUAUUGUUUAUAAUAUGCUAUGCAUUUUAUAACCAUUUCUGUGAAAUGUACCUACUUUGUUUAAAUAAACUUUUUUAAAACCA